AGUUCAGUCGGUAGAACGGCGGACUGUUAAUCCGUAUGUCACUGGUUCGAGUCCUGUC
rnacentral:tRNA from 1 species